UUUCUUCUUAAAAACAGGCAACAAGAUCCUAUUAACCAGUGUCACUGCUUUUAAAUUGUUUUAUAUUGUUUUACACUUGUGCUUAUGUAUUAAUUAGUUUUAUUUUGUAACCAGGUUGCUGUGUAUCGCAGACUUUCUGCCCAGGUUCCUCUUUAAAAACAGAUCCAGAUCUCAUUGGGUUUACCUGCUUAAAUAAAAUAAAGGACAUUGAAAUCUCAACCCAUAAUCAGAGCAGAUAUUCAGUAAAACCAGCACUGCUGGGUCAGAGGUCAGAGGUCAUCAGCUUCCAUAAAGUGAUUGACCAGAGUGUCACCGAUCAAACAUCCAGUUUACAGAGGUUCAUUUCUUUUGACAGGUCGUCCAGGUCCAAGUUAAACAAGGCAGGAAGAAGCGAACCCUGACGCUCAGCGUUACUCACAGCAAAGGAAGCAGAGAAGUUAUUGAUGGUAGAAAUACAGAAAUCAGUUCCCAACUUGGCUUUGACACCAAACUGAUUGAUCAGCUUCAACAUGGAUUCAAUGUUUCAAUGUUGUUUCACUGAUAUGGUGUUAUCUGGGUAAUCUCUCUUUACUCAGGACAUUCAGCUCUUACUCUGGCUAUGAAUUCAAUCUACAGAAAACAGCUUCUUUCAUUAACUAUCAACAAUCACUAAGGAUUCAGAAAAUGUCCAGGUUUAAUUGAUAUAAAAAUCUAUCAGAUAUUUGGGAGUUUAAAUUCCUGCAGAGUUUUAAAAACCUUUUUGAAUUCAAUUCCACCCACUGACAGCAGAGAUUAGAGCAGAUCUACAGCAUUGGUCAUUAUUACCCAUAAAUCCACAUAAUCAGAUAUAAUAAAGAUCAACCUUUUACCAAGGAUUAUUUAUUUCAGGCUUUGCUUUACAGGAACCUGCCAAACUAUUCAAUGAUUGGGACAAAAUAAACACUAAUUUUAUCUGAGCUGAACAAAAAAGAAGAGAGUAAAAUUUCAGACACUAAAACUGUCAAAAGUAAAGGAUGGAUGGACUUUAAAACAUUUAGAGGAUUAUUAUAGAGCAGCACAGAUGAGAGUGAUAAUUGGUUGGUUUGACCCAACAUGUGGAGCUAAAUGAAACCAGAAAACUCUCCGCGAGUUUUUUUUAUUUUGACUGAGUCCAAAAUCUCCUAAAAACUACUCUGGGAUUUUUUGAUUUUUGGGAACUUAUCAUGUUGCCAGAGUAGCUUUAACAAUUACUGUUGGGAAGCUGGAGUUUUGGUUUCUGUGGGGCUGCUUUUCUUGUCUCUAGUUAUCCACUAGAUGGAGCCAGGAAGCUGUGUUGUCCAGAGGGCGGUCUCAGGUGUUCAGCCAUCACACCUGCAGCCUAUCUGUCAUCAGCCAGUGUUUAAGAGAAGCCUGUCACCAGUCCUUCGAUGCCUGAGUGUUGCCGUUCAUGGUUCUCAGCGGCUGUUACCUUUGUGCCUUAUGAGUUUUAUCGUUUCACCUCCAAGAUUCUUCAUAAAGAAACCCCUGGUUCAAAAAUCCCUACGACUGGUUCUUCUGGCUGUUCAAGUCUGUGCUACAACCUGUCCGCCCUCCAAUGAAGUACAACUAACAAACCCUCAUCGCCGCCCAUUCUCUCUGGAUCUCCUGGCUUCAGUUCCAACCCCACCUGGACCCGGCACUCACCCUAGAAACCAAGUUCCAGCACCAGCAGAAUACCUCCCCCUGGUGGAUCAGUUCCAUUUCACUAGUAAGGUCUCCUAUUAUUCUCUUUUUCACCUUCAGUACUACUUACUCACCUCUCAUCUACUCCAUCCUCAGAAUCCAGAUCUCCAGCUGUCCCAUACCCCGGGCAAAGAAGAUACAUUCAAACUCUUUUUACAAUAAACUUUAUUUAACUGACA